rnacentral:rRNA from 1 species
GAUGAACGCUGGCGGCGUGCUUAACACAUGCAAGUCGAACGAAGCACUUUAACCUGAUUCUUCGGAUGAAGGUUUUUGUGACUGAGUGGCGGACGGGUGAGUAACGCGUGGGUAACCUGCCUCAUACAGGGGGAUAACAGUUAGAAAUGACUGCUAAUACCGCAUAAGACCACAGAGCCGCAUGGCUCGGUGGGAAAAACUCCGGUGGUAUGAGAUGGACCCGCGUCUGAUUAGGUAGUUGGUGGGGUAACGGCCUACCAAGCCAACGAUCAGUAGCCGACAUGAGAGGGUGACCGGCCACAUUGGGACUGAGACACGGCCCAAACUCCUACGGGAGGCAGCAGUGGGGAAUAUUGCACAAUGGGGGAAACCCUGAUGCAGCGACGCCGCGUGAGCGAAGAAGUAUUUCGGUAUGUAAAGCUCUAUCAGCAGGGAAGAAAAUGACGGUACCUGACUAAGAAGCACCGGCUAAAUACGUG